CGGGGUAUAGCGCCAGUCCGGUAGCGCGCUGCUUGGGAGCAGGAUGUCAGGAGUUCGAAUCCCCUUACCCGACCA
rnacentral:tRNA from 1 species